rnacentral:tRNA from 1 species
GGGGCUGUAGCUCACCUGGCAGAGCAUCUGCUUUGCAAGCAGAGGGUAGCGAGUUCGAUCCUCGUCAGCUCCACCA